GGUUGGGGUUAGAUUGAAACUUUCAAGAUUUGCUUAUUUGGGUCAAUAAGC
rfam:Lactobacillus kalixensis DSM 16043 Scaffold33, whole genome shotgun sequence.